rnacentral:rRNA from 1 species
CAAGUCGAGCGGCAGCACGGUCUUCGGACGUGGUGGCGAGCGGCGGACGGCUGAGUAACGCGUGGGAAUAUACCCCAAAGUGAGGGAUAACUGCCCGAAAGGGUGGCUAAUACCGUAUGUGGUCUUCGGACUAAAGCCUUCGGGCGCUUUGGGAAUAGCCUGCGUAAGAUUAGCUAGUUGGUGAGGUAAUGGCUCACCAAGGCGACGAUCUUUAGCUGGUCUGAGAGGAUGACCAGCCAGACUGGAACUGAGACACGGUCCAGACUCCUACGGGAGGCAGCAGUAGGGAAUUUCCACAAUGGGCGAAAGCCUGAUGGAGCAACGCCGCGUGCAGGAUGAAGGCCCUCGGGUCGUGAACUGCUUUUAUGUGCGAAGAAUAUGACGGUAACACAUGAAUAAGGGUCGGCUAACUACGUG